GUCGAACGAACUUCCGUUAAUUGAUUAUGACGUACUUGUACUGAUUGAGAUUUUAACACGAAGUGAGUGGCGAACGGGUGAGUAACACGUGGGUAACCUGCCCAGAAGUAGGGGAUAACACCUGGAAACAGAUGCUAAUACCGUAUAACAGAGAAAACCGCAUGGUUUUCUUUUAAAAGAUGGCUCUGCUAUCACUUCUGGAUGGACCCGCGGCGUAUUAGCUAGUUGGUGAGGUAAAGGCUCACCAAGGCAGUGAUACGUAGCCGACCUGAGAGGGUAAUCGGCCACAUUGGGACUGAGACACGGCCCAGACUCCUACGGGAGGCAGCAGUAGGGAAUCUUCCACAAUGGACGCAAGUCUGAUGGAGCAACGCCGCGUGAGUGAAGAAGGGUUUCGGCUCGUAAAGCUCUGUUGUUAAAGAAGAACGUGGGUAAGAGUAACUGUUUACCCAGUGACGGUAUUUAACCAGAAAGCCACGGCUAACUACGUGCCAGCAGCCGCGGUAAUACGUAGGUGGCAAGCGUUAUCCGGAUUUAUUGGGCGUAAAGCGAGCGCAGGCGGUCUUUUAAGUCUAAUGUGAAAGCCUUCGGCUCAACCGAAGAAGUGCAUUGGAAACUGGGAGACUUGAGUGCAGAAGAGGACAGUGGAACUCCAUGUGUAGCGGUGAAAUGCGUAGAUAUAUGGAAGAACACCAGUGGCGAAAGCGGCUGUCUGGUCUGCAACUGACGCUGAGGCUCGAAAGCAUGGGUAGCGAACAGGAUUAGAUACCCUGGUAGUCCAUGCCGUAAA
rnacentral:rRNA from 1 species